rnacentral:lncRNA from 1 species
UCAGGACCUCUGGAAGAGCAAUCGGUAUUCUUAAAUGCUGAGUCAUCUCUCCAGGACAGUGCUCACCAUAUGAGUAAUGUGACCUCAACUCCAUUUCUGUUUUCUGGAGUUUCCUCCCACAAGGUGUGCAGGGAUCAAACCCGAGCAUCACAGUUCUCAACGGCCCUCUGGCGCUCACUUUCUCACAAGCAUUGAUAGAGUACCUGCCAAUGUCAGCUGCGAGUGUAUCACUCAGAGUUCUGUCAGACAAAACCUGAGGCUUUCAGGGGCUUGGAUCAGGCAGGGAAAGAGAGUAUCAUCAUUGUGCCCCAUGCUCUGACAGAAAUGCAAAAGAACACAACUGAGCUAAACCUUGGCUCAGCAGAGCCCACACCUUUAGCUUCACCUAACUGCAGCUUUUCAACAGAGAAGGGAACAUUACGGUUUAAUAACACAGGGCUGCAGUUCACACAGCUCAGUGCCAGUCAAGCCCCAAGAAGAAUUCUACUUCCUGAGGCUAAGCUAUACAAAGUAGGGCAUUCUGGAUUUCAAUCCAGGAAGGAAAUGUUUCCUUCCUCUUUCUAAUAUACAGUAGUUAAUUACUUGUUUUCCUGAUCACAGAGGUUCCGUAACAAGUGUAUUUGUCUAAAAGUUUUUAUUCUAUUUCUCUCUCAUCGUGUUGGGGUAGGGGGUUGGGGAGCAGGCAGUUUCAAUCCUCAGUAUCAGGAUAUCAUGCAGUAAUCUUGCACACAACACAUCAAAAUAGAUAUUAAUUUUGUGCUUCUUGUUCUGCAACUGGUCACACAUCUUAACUUAGAAGAACCAGUUGGUUUCAAUGAAUUGGAUGUCAUGGUGACUAUGAAUUGUAGAGCAAGAAAAGGAAAGAAGUAUGCCCAGGAGAAAGAUAACUAAGAAUGAUGCCUUGCAGACCUACUGUGUGCAGAUGAAAGCAAGGGCUCAUAGUUUUCCAGUUCAUUGAUAAGCCUGGCUUGUGGGUAGACAUAAGGAAACAGAAAUGAGUUCGUCAGCUGGCUACUUACGAGUCCUGAAAUCUCCUUUCCUCGUUUGUGUUGCUAACUCUGUGAGACAGGAACAAUUGGAGCUGAAAGUUAUUCCUGCCCGUCAGCAGGAUUCCUAUAAGUAGAGAGUGCUUAGUUCCAGAAGCCUGUGUCCAGCAUCUGUUGUUGGCACACAGAUUUCUGCACACCCCUCCAGUCACAAGCAACACAUUAAAUGAUGAAAACUUUCAUGAGUAAUGUAAAAGACUAGUAAUAGUAAAGGCAUGUGGUGUUUGUAUUUCCUCACAGAAGACGAAGUGAGCCAGAGUUUCAUCAGUUCUGCUAUUCAUUGAUAGAUGCUACAGAGCACUUAGCUUGUUUACAUGUCUUUUCUCAUCGAUGUCUUAAAGGCAUCAACAAGAUGUCUUUUUUUUUCUAUGUAUCAUUAAAAACAAUUCUUCCCCUCUGUAAAUAAUAUUUAAAAUGUCACUACUGGCCGGGCGUGGUGGCACAGGCCUUUAAUCCCAGCACUUGGGAGGCAGAGGCAGGCAGUCUACAAGGUGAGUCCAGGACAGCCAGGGCUACACAGAGAAACCCUGUCUC